rnacentral:rRNA from 1 species
GACGAACGCUUGCGGCGUGCCUAAGAAAUGCAAGUCGAGCGGGUGAGAGGCUUCGGUCUCUCGCUAGCGGCGAACGGUCGCGUACCACGUAAGCAACCUGCCCCGAAGACCGGGACAACAGCCCGAAAGGGCUGCUAAUACCGGAUGUGACCACCGGGAGGCUCUCCUGGUGAUUAAAGCAGGCAACUGGCUUCGGGAGGGCUUGCGGCCUAUCAGCUAGAUGGUGAGGUAACGGCUCACCAUGGCGACGACGGGUAGCUGGUCUGAGAGGAUGGUCAGCCGGACUGGGACUGAGAUACGGCCCAGACUCCUACGGGAGGCAGCAGUGGGGAAUUUUGGACAAUGGGCGCAAGCCUGAUCCAG